rnacentral:misc_RNA from 1 species
CUGGGCACGGGCGUUUCUGUCGCGGGCUUCGGGCGAGGUCGCGGCUACUGCGCAGCGCGGGUCGGGGCGUGGGCGCGGGGCGGUCGGUCGGGUCGGGCUCGGCGCGCAGGUUCCUGGCACGGGCGUGUCGAGGCCUUGGGCGGGUGGCUCGGUAGGGGCGACGCGGCUGGGGCGCUGUCGGCCUGGUCGAGCUCGGACGCUGCAGGGCGCUCGACCGCGGGGUCGCGCGGUCGCUUGGCUCCUGUCGCGGCGAGCGCUGGGAGAGAGCAAGGGAGGAGAGAGAGGAAUGAGUGGAGGACGCGGGGAGGCUGCAGGGGCUUCGGCACGCGGGGUACAGGGCUGGAGUCCUCGGCGAUUUCCUUGGCGGCGCGUGGGAAAGGGAGCAGAGAGGAGGAGGAGAGGUGGGGAUGGAGAGAGAAGAGGGAGGGAGAGAAAUCAGGGAACGGCGGCGCCUAG